rnacentral:tmRNA from 1 species
GGGGUUGUUUGGAUUUGACGGCAAGACGAGAUGGUACGUAAGCACGCGGAGCCUCGUUGGUUAGCUCCUUAAUCUGAGCGAACAAAAAUUUAAUUGGCGAAAACAAUUACGCUCUCGCUGCCUAAUCGAAGUACAGUAGAUUACUGGCUUAAUCCAGCUACCAGGUAGCAGGACGAGACAUCGCUCCAUGGAUGUUUUUCCGAAUCUUAUGGAUGUAGCGGUGCUAGGAAAUCGGGAAUAGCAUGGGUAGGCCUUGAUGCCUGUGUGAAAUUUUAGAGGAUAAGGUUGUGGUUGGUGGUUCAGGUCUUGCCUCAACACGAAAAUCAAAGUCUGAAAUAAGCGUGUAGAAAGCGUAUGGUUUCCUUGUGCGGACGCGGGUUCGACUCCCGCCAGCUCCACA